rnacentral:tRNA from 1 species
AUUUUUAUAGUGUAAUUAAUAACACAUAACAUUUUCAUUGUUAAAAUGAUAAAUACAUAUCUAAAAAUA